GACGAACGCUGGCGGCGUGCUUAACACAUGCAAGUCGAGCGAUGAAAGCCUUAUGAACUAUUCGUAGUGAUGGGGGCCGGAUUAGCGGCGGACGGGUGAGUAACGCGUGAGCAACCUGCCUUAAACAACGGGAUAGCCUCGGGAAACCGGGAUUAAUCACGUAUGAGACCCCGCCUUCACAUGAAGAAGAGGUUAAAGAUUUAUCGGUUUAAGAUGGGCUCGCGUCUGAUUAGCUAGUUGGUGAGAUAACAGCCCAACAAGGCAACGAUCAGGACCCGGCUUGAGGGAGUGAACGGUCACAUGGGAACUGAGACACGGUCCAAACUCCUACGGGAGGCAGCAGUGGGGAAUAUUGCACAAUGGGGGAAACCCUGAUGCAGCGACGCCGCGUGAGCGAUGAAGGAAUUCGUUUCGUAAAGCUCUGUCCAAGGGGAAGAUAAUGACAGUACCCUUGGAGGAAGCCCCGGCUAAAUACGUGCCAGCCGCCGCGGUAA
rnacentral:rRNA from 1 species